rnacentral:rRNA from 1 species
ACUUUCAACAACGGAUCUCUUGGCUCUCGCAUCGAUGAAAAACGCACCGAAAUGCGAUAAGUAGUGUGAAUUGCAUAAUUUUGUGAAUCAUCGAAUCUUUGAAACGCAAAUUGCACUCCCUGGGUAUUCCGGGGAAGUUAUGCCUGUUUGAGGGUCCU